UCCUGCUGCUAGGGGAGAAAUUGCAGACGGCCUCUUUUACUCUCUCCCACCUUCUGCUCCUGUCUUGGUCUGCAGCUCGAAGGCCGAGCUUCGGUCGCCAUCACUCAUUCAGCACUGGCGUGAGAUCGAGGCCGUUGGCCCGGCCCGACUACGGCGGCAACGCGGAGUCCUCGGCGGCGGCCAACUCCGGUACCAGCUCACUGCGCAGUCAUCGCCGCAUCCAGCGGCGCUUGGGUUCCAGUGCCUAGAUCUACGCCGCCGUCACCACGCUCGAUGCCCCCAACAUCGGUGUCCGCAGAUGGGGUUUCUUGACGCCAUUGAGCCCAAUGCGCCUCGCAACUCGACUCCCUCAAGCAGUCGGCGGUUGGCGGACGCUUUAUGCUCACCGCCACCCUGCUCCACUCCCCGCAAGACAAAGAGCCAGGGCAGGCAACAGGGGCGGCGGCACGCAGGCCCGCGCACACAGGUGGCGGCGGCGGAGCGCAGACAUUCUUGUUCUCGGGUUUACUGCGCUGGUUUAGAGCUUUGUCAACACGCUUCGGUUGAAUCUCAUCUGUACCAAGGUUCCAACUGCUAAAGUAUUCUCAUCUCCUUAGUGAUUUGGAUCUACUAUAAUUAAUC